AAUCGACCUCGGAUCAGGCAGGGAUACCCGCUGAACUU
rnacentral:rRNA from 1 species